AGUGAACGCUGGCGGUAGGCCUAACACAUGCAAGUCGAACGGCAGCACAGUAAGAGCUUGCUCUUACGGGUGGCGAGUGGCAGACGGGUGAGGAAUACAUCGGAAUCUACUUUUUCGUGGGGGAUAACGUAGGGAAACUUACGCUAAUACCGCAUACGACCUACGGGUGAAAGCAGGGGAUCUUCGGACCUUGCGCGAUUGAAUGAGCCGAUGUCGGAUUAGCUAGUUGGCGGGGUAAAGGCCCACCAAGGCGACGAUCCGUAGCUGGUCUGAGAGGAUGAUCAGCCACACUGGAACUGAGGCACGGUCCAGACUCCUACGGGAGGCAGCAGUGGGGAAUAUUGGACAAUGGGCGCAAGCCUGAUCCAGCCAUACCGCGUGGGUGAAGAAGGCCUUCUGGUUGUAAAGCCCUUUUGUUGGGAAAGAAAAGCAGCAGGUUAAUACCCCGCUGUUCUGACGGUACCCAAAGAAUAAGCACCGGCUAACUUCGUG
rnacentral:rRNA from 1 species